rnacentral:rRNA from 1 species
GUAACCAUUACCGAAAGGUAGUGGUAACCCCUUGAAAAUCCUCCGUGAUCGGGAUCGGGAAUUGCAAUUAUUUCCCUUGAACGAGGAAUUCCUAGUAAGUGUGAGUCAUCAGCUCACGUUGAUUACGUCCCUGCCCUUUGUACACACCGCCCGUCGCUGCCCGGGACUGAGCCGUUUCGAGAAAAGCGGAGACUGCUGUUUUGAUACCUUUCGAGGUGGAGAUUCUUUGGUGGAAACCGCUUUAAUCGCAGUGGCUUGAACCGGGCAAAAGUCGUAACAAGGUUUCCGUAGGUGAACCUGCGGAAGGAUCAUUA